rnacentral:misc_RNA from 1 species
AGAUCAUUUUUUCAAUCUUCAAGCACUGGUGGAUUCGUAAUGCAUGACCUGGUGAACGAUCUAGCACAAGUGGUUGCUGGAGAUACAUAUUUCAGAUUGGAGGAAAAGUCAAGUAAGAAAGAAAAAGCUCGCUACUCUUCUUACAUCCCCUGCAGGUUUGAUCGCCGUGAAAGAUUUGAGCCAUUUGAAAGGAUCAAGCAUAUGCGAACCUUCUUGCCCCUAUCACCGUACGAUGAAUAUAUGAGAUUCUACUUAGCAAAAUGCGUUCCUUCUUAUUUGUUAUCAAAGUUACAAUGCUUAAGGGUGUUGUCCUUCAAAUAUUAUAAUAUCACUGAGCUACCUGAUUCAAUAGGCGACUUGAAGCAUCUAAGGUAUCUC